AAUGAUUAUUUUAAUGGCCGCGGUAUUUUGACCGUGCAAAGGUAGCAUAAUCAUUAGUCUUUUAAUUGAGGACUUGUAUGAAUGGUUGGACGAGAUAUUGGCUGUCUUUAAUUUAUUAUUAUAAUUUUAAUUUUUAGUUAAAAUGCUAGAAUUAUUUUAUGGGACGAGAAGACCCUAUAGAUCUUUAUUAUUUAUUUGAUUAAUUUAUUUAGGAUUUUUAUUAAUUAAUUUUUUAUAUUAUUUUGUUGGGGUGACAUGGGGAUAAUUUUUGUAACUCUUUAUUUUUUUUUACAUUUAUUUUUGUUUAAUUGACCUUUUAUUAUUGUUAUAAGAUUUAGAUACCUUAGGGAUAACAGCGUAAUUUUAUUUGAGAGUUCAUAUCGACAAUGAAGAUUGCGACCUCGAUGUUGGAUUAAGAUUAUUAUUGGGUGUAGAUGCUUAAUUAAUAGGUCUGUUCGACCUUUAAAUUCUUACAUGAUCUGAGUU
rnacentral:rRNA from 1 species